UUUCCUCCACUGAGUCUCUGACUGUAACUGUGUGCGCACGUGUGUGUGUGUGGGGGGGGGCGGAGCCCUGCCCUUCGCGAAACAGCUGAGGAGAAACUGCGCAAAGCAAGCAGUAGACCAGGGGUGUCAAACUCAAUCACAGAGAGGGCCAAAAUGAGUGUGUCGUUACACUGGAGCUCAAUCAGCUCCAUUUGGAUGUUCACAUGUGCUGUUUCCACGUCAACUGCAAACGGAUUGCUGAGCAGUUCAUGCGCAGUCGGGAACACAGCGGUGGAGAUGGUUUGUCAGCGUUUGGAAACACGUAGUGACCAAAGUUUCCUGCUGCAUCAGAGUCUCCCACAGGCAGCUUGGCUUCGAAAGCUAAGACAAUGAAUUCUUUGACUGUGUCCACACUGUACUCAUGUUGUACAGCGGAGAAGCUGUUGUUUGCCACAAUCCCAAUGUUCAGAAAUCUAAAGAGAAGUGCUACCUUGAAAAAAGCAUGAAAUCUGCUGCCUGCAUGCACUUGAAUGUGGGCUGCAAGUUCCACCUUCACCACCGUCACUAAGAUCCCCAACCACCCACUGUUGUGAGUGAGACAAGAGUGCUGAAAAAACCUUCCGUUUACAGAUGUUUUAGCAUCUUUCAAUCAAUCAAAUUGUGUUUAUGAAGCCCAACACCAACAGCUGGUCUACAAUCAAUCCAGCAUAGGACACCUUCUGUCCUUAGACUCUUGCAGGGGACAAGGAAAAGCGCUAAAAUCUAAUUAUUUGUUCAAGUUGUACCCAACGGACAAUGGAAGAGGAUGGGUGGAGGAAUCCCUCUUCCAGAACAGACAGACGUGCAGUAGAUGUCGGGUGUACAUACAUUUUUAUUGGUUAUCUAGUUCUACUUAUUUAUGGGUUUCCAGUUAAAAAUGAUGACUGUGGAUAAUAUCUGUAGAUUUUGAGCCGAGGAGGACAUUAUGUAUUUAUUUAGCUAUUGUCCAGUUGUAGAAUCAUUUUGGUAGCUGGUGGCAGAUCGGUUAUCUGAACAAGCAAUCGUUUUACCUUUGUCCCCUCAAGAAUAUUUGGGAUUUUCAAGAUGAUGAAAAUACCUUAUUAAACAUUUUUGUGUUGCUUGACCAACUUUAUAUAUUCAAUACUCGUGAAAAUAUUUUUCACGGUUUUGAGCCCCUUUAUUUUGUUUCUCAAGCAUUGUUUUUUACAGAAAAAAAGAUCAUUAACAAAAGUAGAGCAAAAAACGAAAGUAUAAAUAAAUGGGAGAUCCUGACAAUUUCAAAGAAAUUGGGAUUCAAACUUAUGAUUAUUUUUAUGAUAUCAUAACUAAAUUAUAUAUGCCUUUUAAACUAAUGUAGAAUUGAUAUGUUGUUGUAUUACAAUUACACAUAGUACUUGAUAUGUAUGUCUAUAUAUGUAUAUAUGUACAGUAUAUGUGUAUAUUUGUAUAUCAUUUUCUAUGUAUGUGUUAUGUCUGUUUUAAGUGGAAUAUAUUUAUGUUUGUGAUGCAAAUUACAUUUGCAAUUUGUUUUGUGUUUAAACAUAAUAAUAAAUAAAAACAAUAGUGAGAUCAAAAUCUAGUUGUAAAGUGUGGAGCCACUAGAGGGCGCACACAUGCUCCACCAGAAGUGAACACAGCUUCUCUGAACAAGGUUCUCACAAUGUUUCAUAAACAGAAGUGCUAUUGUAUUGCUUACUUCUUGCUAAUGUAAUAAGCAGUAACAAUUGUUAAACACAAGAUUAACUGAACAAAUCAAGUUUAGACCACUUUCAACAUGUCAAUGAUUAGAGUUAUGUAUUAAAAAUGUUGUUUUUUAACAACUAAUUUUAUUUUAUAUUGUUUACUUCUUUAAUUGUUUUAUCUUUUUAAAACACAAUAUUGUUUUAUUACCCAUAAUAUUGUCCAUUGUUGUUGGUGAGAGGAAACCUAUACCUACAAUUAACAAUAAAAUGUUCGCUCUUAAAAUAUAAUAUAAGCUUAAAGUUUCAGAAACAUCUUGAUUGUUAUUGCUUCGAGGACUGUUUGAUUUGAACUUGUUUUGUUAGCGGGGCAGAAGAGAAGUCAGCACCAGAUGGCUCAAAGAGAAAGAACUUCACUAAUGAAAGUGUUUAAUUAUAAUUGUUAGAUAAAGGCCGAUACCUAUCCACCCCACUGUCGAUAUGGAUAUUUGAAAUGAAUUUGAAAUGUAUUAAUAAAGAGGGUGAU
rnacentral:lncRNA from 1 species